GUCGCGAUAGCGUAACGUGUAGCGUAUCAGCCCGUGGAGCUGAAGAUGCGGGUUCAAAUCCCGCUCGCGACC
rnacentral:tRNA from 1 species